rnacentral:rRNA from 1 species
GCAAGUCGAGCGGUAACAGAUCUAGCUUGCUAGAUGCUGACGAGCGGCGGACGGGUGAGUAACGCGUAGGUAUCUACCCAGUAGCGGGGGAUAAGCCAGAGAAAUUUUGUCUCAUACCGCAUACGCCCUUCGGGGGAAAGCAGGGGAUCUUCGGACCUUGCACUAUUGGAUGAGCCUGCGUGAGAUUAGCUAGUUGGUGAGGUAAUGGCUCACCAAGGCGACGAUCUCUAGCUGGUCUGAGAGGAGGAUC